rnacentral:rRNA from 1 species
AGAGUUUGAUCCUGGCUCAGGAUGAACGCUAGCGGCAGGCUUAAUACAUGCAAGUCGAGGGGCAGCACGAAUAGCAAUAUUUGGUGGCGACCGGCGCACGGGUGCGUAACACGUAUGCAACCUUCCUUCAACUGGGGAAUAGCUCACCGAAAGGUGAAUUAAUACCCCAUAAUAUUCGAGAGUGGCAUCACUUUCCAAUUAAAGAAUUUCGGUUGAAGAUGGGCAUGCGCAACAUUAGCUAGUUGGUGAGGUAACGGCUCACCAAGGCUACGAUGUUUAGGGGAUCUGAGAGGAUUAACCCCCCACACUGGUACUGAGACACGGACCAGACUCCUACGGGAGGCAGCAGUAAGGAAUAUUGGACAAUGGGCGCAAGCCUGAUCCAGCCAUGCCGCGUGCAGGAUGACGGCCCUAUGGGUUGUAAACUGCUUUUAUACGGGAAAAAACCCUCGCUCGUGAGCGAGGCUGAUGGUACCGUAAGAAUAAGGAUCGGCUAACUCCGUGCCAGCAGCCGCGGUAAUACGGAGGAUCCAAGCGUUAUCCGGAUUUAUUGGGUUUAAAGGGUGCGUAGGCGGAUUCGUAAGUCAGUGGUGAAAUCCUGCAGCUCAACUGUAGAACUGCCAUUGAUACUGCAAGUCUUGAGUACAUAUGAUGUGGGCGGAAUGUGUAGUGUAGCGGUGAAAUGCUUAGAUAUUACACAGAACACCGAUUGCGAAGGCAGCUCACAAAACUGUAACCGACGCUGAGGCACGAAAGCGUGGGGAGUGAACAGGAUUAGAUACCCUGGUAAUCCACGCCUUAAACGAUGAUUACUCGAUGUGUGCAAUACACCGUACGCGUCCUAGCGAAAGCGUUAAGUAAUCCACCUGGGGAGUACGAUCGCAAGGUUGAAACUCAAAGGAAUUGACGGGGGCCCGCACAAGCGGAGGAGCAUGUGGUUUAAUUCGAUGAUACGCGAGGAACCUUACCUGGGCUUGAAAGUUAGUGACCGGUGGUGAAAGCCACUUUUCCGCGAGGACACGAAACUAGGUGCUGCAUGGCUGUCGUCAGCUCGUGCCGUGAGGUGUUGGGUUAAGUCCCGCAACGAGCGCAACCCCUAUCUUUAGUUGCCAGCGAGUAAUGUCGGGGACUCUAGAGAAACUGCCCGUGCAAACGGUGAGGAAGGUGGGGAUGACGUCAAGUCAGCACGGCCCUUACGUCCAGGGCUACACACGUGCUACAAUGGCGAGUACAAAGGGCAGCUACACAGUGAUGUGAUGCUAAUCUCUAAAGCUCGUCUCAGUUCGGAUUGAAGUCUGCAACUCGACUUCAUGAAGCUGGAUUCGCUAGUAAUCGUAGAUCAGCAAUGCUACGGUGAAUACGUUCCCGGGCCUUGUACACACCGCCCGUCAAGCCAUGGAAGUUGGGAGUACCUGAAGUCCAUCACCGCAAGGAGUGGCCUAGGGUAAAACCAAUGACUGGGGCUAAGUCGUAACAAGGUA